GGGUCCCAGUACCUGGUCCAGGAGGCAGCGUCUCCCUCCCGUCCGGGAUAAGACACCCCCUCCGCGGGUCCCCUGUCCACUCUGGAGAGGCAGCCCCCACUUGGAGGGACCAGGACCCGAGCCCUGCCCAUCCCCGAAUCCUGGGAGCCCUGCGUGGGGAGUGUCGAGGGCCUGGGUCGGGGGGCAAACUAGUGUGGAGCAAUGAAUCCCGGAAACCCGGCUGCUCACUAAUUACCCAGUAACUAUGGAGGUCCCCCGAAGGACAGACCUGUGCCCUUGAGGCAGGGCCCUGAAGGAGGCCAACUUUAAUGGAGGACCUAGCAAGUGCCAGGCAGCAUUCUGAGCCCUGGAAUCCGGUGAUGAACAUGACAGACAAGAUUCCUGCCCCCAAGGAGCUGCACCUUAAUAAGUCCCGCAAUGAAGGAGACAGAACAUAAACAGAGGAAAAUACACAAGAUGCCAGCUUGUGAGAAGUGCUAGCAAAAAAAGACACAAGUAUGUCCAGAGAGUCUGAGGUGUAUACAGCUCAUUUCACCAAUGAAAAGGCACUGGCAACAUCUCCUAUGCAGAUUAGCCGCAGCCUCCGGUGCCGAUUUAGCAAAGCCAUGAUUGACCAGAUCCGAGGCUCGCUGCCCUGUGGAGCUGCUUCCUAAUUAUGUUACUUCAAGCACCCAUCCCCAGGGUGCAGGUUAAAGUUAACCAGCACACUAAUGUACAUCAAGCAGUGUAGGCGGAGGCGCAGUUCUGAAGACAGUCACCAAUACGCGGCAAAUACCUAUUUAGUUACUGGCACCCACUAUGUACCAGCCACUGUGCUGGGCACGGAUGGACACACAUCAGCCCCUGCCCGCAUGGUGGAACAGGGAUAUGGGAGAGAAAGACAACAAACAACUCGGUGUACAAAUAGUCAACUACAGUGGAAAAGCAAAGAUUAAAUCCUCAUACCUCUCUGGAAAAGUGGAGGGGACCACAUUCCAGCAUCUGGUGCCUUGUUUGCCCCAAACAUGACUUCAAGUGAAUCGACAUAAUACUCUUCCAGAGGGAAAGCAGAACCAUCUGCAGGGCUGAGGGACCAAGAAACACAGUGAGGAAUUCCACAGGAGGCCCACGCGGAGGGAUGUGACACCCCAGGUGGACUCUAGGGGACGCUCACUUGGAACUUGCAUCACCCGGAACUGUGUCUGCCACUGUGACUUCAGAGCAGCACAGACCUGAGGUGGAUCCAGCAAUGCCCACAACUGUCCAACAAUUUCACUUUUCCGAGGCUCAGUUUCCAUGUGGAAAAUGGACUGGCUCUGAGUAUUAAAUGAGGAUGAAUGUCCAUAUGCCUCACCCCUUUCUUCAUGAAAGGAAGACACCUCUGGGACUCAGACAAAUGGCCAAUAACAUCUAGUCUUUAUUCAGUCCUAACUGCAUGACAAUACAACUAGCGUAACAGUCAUCAACAUAAGGAAUGCUCUCAAUAUUGCUCGAUGCCCUGUGUGCUAUCACUAAUAGCAACAACUGCUGUUCAUCUAUGCCACGAUAUGCACCAAAUCUACACCACUCCUUUAAGGUGUCACUGUCUCCAUUCCACAGAUGAGAAAACAGCCUCCAGAAGAGGAAA
ensembl:lncRNA LINC02292 long intergenic non-protein coding RNA 2292